rnacentral:rRNA from 1 species
UGGGGAAUUUUGGACAAUGGGCGAAAGCCUGAUCCAGCAAUGCCGCGUGUGUGAAGAAGGCCUUCGGGUUGUAAAGCACUUUUGUCCGGAAAGAAAUCCUUGGCUCUAAUACAGUCGGGGGAUGACGGUACCGGAAGAAUAAGCACCGGCUAACUACGUGCCAGCAGCCGCGGUAAUACGUAGGGUGCAAGCGUUAAUCGGAAUUACUGGGCGUAAAGCGUGCGCAGGCGGUUUGCUAAGACCGAUGUGAAAUCCCCGGGCUCAACCUGGGAACUGCAUUGGUGACUGGCAGGCUAGGGUAUGGCAGAGGGGGGUAGAAUUCCACGUGUAGCAGUGAAAUGCGUAGAGAUGUGGAGGAAUACCGAUGGCGAAGGCAGCCCCCUGGGCCCAAUACUGACGCUCAUGCACGAAA